rnacentral:rRNA from 1 species
GAUGAACGCUGGCGGCGUGCCUAACACAUGCAAGUCGAACGGACAGACACUGAGCUUGUGCCUUUCUCGUUAGCGGAAGGCGGGUGUGUCACGCGUGUAUCCUCUCCUUGUCUUUCUGGGAUAAUUACGGAACUGCGGCUAUUAUACCAGAUCACAUCCUGCACCGCAUGGGGCAAUGGAGAAUGGCGGCUUUCGUGUAUGGACUCGCUGGUUCCGCGCCGUAUUAGCUAGUUGGUAGGGUAACGGCCUAUCAAGGCUACGAUACGUGGCCGAGCUGAGAGGGUGAUCGGCCACACUGGAACUGAGCCACGGUCCAGACUCCUACGGGAGGCAGCAGUAGGGAAUCGUCGGCAAUGGGCGAAAGCCUGACGGAGCAACGGCGCGUGAGUGACGAAGGCCUUCGGUUCGUAAAGCUCUCUUAUCGGGGAAGAACAGCUGUGGAAUGAACCGUAGACAUCGUGACGGUACCUGAUCAAAAAGCACCGGCUAACUACGUG